rnacentral:rRNA from 1 species
CCUACGGGAGGCAGCAGUCGAGAAUCAUUCACAAUGGGGGAAACCCUGAUGGUGCGACGCCGCGUGGGGGAAUGAAGGUCUUCGGAUUGUAAACCCCUGUCAUGUGGGAGCAAAUUAAACAGAUAGUCCCACAAGAGGCAGAGACGGCUAAAUAUGUGACAGCAGCCGCGGUAAUCCAGCGGUCUCAAGCGUUGUUCGGAAUCACUGGGCGUAAGGCGGGCGUGGGCUGGUUCGUCAGUCGUGUGUGAAAGUCGCGGGCUCAACCCGCGGACGGAACAUGAUACUGCGAGACUAGAGUAAUGGAGGGGGAACCGGAAUGCUCGGUGUAGCAGUGAAAUGCGUAGAUAUCGAGAGGAACACUCGUGGCGAAGGCGGGUUCCUGGACAUUAACUGACGCUGAGGCACGAAGGCCAGGGGAGCGAAAGGGAUUAGAUACCCGAGUAGUC